rnacentral:rRNA from 2 species
GACGGAGCAACGCCGCGUGAGUGAUGAAGGCUUUCGGGUCGUAAAACUCUGUUGUUAGGGAAGAACAAGUGCUAGUUGAAUAAGCUGGCACCUUGACGGUACCUAACCAGAAAGCCACGGCUAACUACGUGCCAGCAGCCGCGGUAAUACGUAGGUGGCAAGCGUUAUCCGGAAUUAUUGGGCGUAAAGCGCGCGCAGGUGGUUUCUUAAGUCUGAUGUGAAAGCCCACGGCUCAACCGUGGAGGGUCAUUGGAAACUGGGAGACUUGAGUGCAGAAGAGGAAAGUGGAAUUCCAUGUGUAGCGGUGAAAUGCGUAGAGAUAUGGAGGAACACCAGUGGCGAAGGCGACUUUCUGGUCUGUAACUGACACUGAGGCGCGAAAGCGUGGGGAGCAAACAGGAUUAGAUACCCUGGUAGUCCACGCCGUAAACGAUGAGUGCUAAGUGUUAGAGGGUUUCCGCCCUUUAGUGCUGAAGUUAACGCAUUAAGCACUCCGCCUGGGGAGUACGGCCGCAAGGCUGAAACUCAA